GUCCCCGCAGGGCUCCGGGCGGCCAUGACCCUGCUGGAGUGCGGGGGGGACCUCCAGCCCCCCGGGGGGUCCCUGCGCCUCCUGUGCCGAGGGGCCGGGUUUAGUUUCGGGAGUUUUGGGAUGGGCUGGUAUCGGCAGAGACCGGGGCAGGGGCUGGAAUUCGUCGCAAGGAUCAGUGACAGUGGUGGUUACACCGACUACGCGCCGUCAGUCAAGGGCCGGGUCAGGAUCUCCAGGGACAACGGGCAGAGCUCGGUGACGCUGACCAUGACCGACCUGCGGGACGAGGAUUCCGGAUCCUAUUUCUGUGCCAAAGCCUCUUGCUCUGGGUGUGUUCCUGCUGCUGGUUAUGGUGACCACGCCCGCCAUGGCACCGAGCUCCUGGUUUUGGCUCCCUUCCCAUAACAGAGUCCCCAAACU